rnacentral:misc_RNA from 1 species
AACUUUUAACAAUGGAUCACUUGGUUCUGGUAUCGAUGAAGAACGCAGCGAAAUGCGAUAAGUAAUGUGAAUUGCAGAAUUUUGUGAAUCAUCGAAUCUUUGAACGCACAUUGCGCCCUCUGGUAUUCCGGAGGGCACACCUGUUCGAGCGCCGUUGACACACUGAGGCUCAGCCUUGUGUUGGCCAUUCCCGCUAGGGAUGGGUCGAAAAACAUGCAGAUCCCAGGAAAUCGGAAGCAUACGCAAUAGUAUGGCGGAAGACGCUCUGAAUCUCAAUUAUCAACCAGUUUGGCCUCGGAUCAGGUGGGGAUACCCGCUGAACUUAAGCAUAUCAAUAAGCGGAGGCU